GCAGGGGUGGAGCAGCGGUAGCUCGUCGGGCCCAUAACCCGAAGGUCGCAGGUUCAAUCCCUGCCCCCUGAA
rnacentral:tRNA from 1 species